rnacentral:tRNA from 4 species
GCCGGGGUGCUGGAAUUGGUAUACAGGAUAGUCUCAAAAACUAUUGCCCGCACGGGCUUAAGGGUUCAAGUCCCUUCCCCGGUA